rnacentral:rRNA from 1 species
CGAACGGGUGAGUAACACGUGGGUAACCUGCCCUGUACUCUGGGAUAAGCCUGGGAAACUAGGUCUAAUACCGGAUAUGACCUGUCACCGCAUGGUGGUGGGUGGAAAGUUCCGGCGGUACGGGAUGGACCCGCGGCCUAUCAGCUUGUUGGUGGGGUAAUGGCCUACCAAGGCGACGACGGGUAGCCGGCCUGAGAGGGUGACCGGCCACACUGGGACUGAGACACGGCCCAGACUCCUACGGGAGGCAGCAGUGGGGAAUAUUGCACAAUGGGCGAAAGCCUGAUGCAGCGACGCCGCGUGAGGGAUGACGGCCUUCGGGUUGUAAACCUCUUUCAGCAGGGACGAAGCGUGAGUGACGGUACCUGCAGAAGAAGC